rnacentral:misc_RNA from 1 species
GGGGGGUCUGAUGGUGGUCCACCUGCUGCAUUCACCUCUGGUGCAGUCCCAUCGUCUGGAGGAAUUGCUUCUUCCACUCAGGCUUCAAGUGGAUCACUUAUUAAGAGGUCUGCAGCGAGCAUGCUGAGUGGAAAGAAGCCUGUCCAAGCCGCUCCUCCUAGUAAGAAAGGGACAUCUGCAAAAUCUGGUACAAGUAAGAAGGGUGAUGGAACUUCUCAGUUAAAAGCAUCUAAGUCUGUUGAAGUUGAAGAUGUUGAGCCCACAGAGAUGAGUCUUGAAGAAAUUGAAAGUAAGUUAGGGUCCCUUAUACAGACGGAGACGAUUACUCAGUUGAAGAGUGCUGUGUGGAAAGAGAGGCUUGAAGCUAUUAAUUCAUUCAAAGAACAGGUUGAAGCGCUACAAGUGCUUGACCCUUCAGUGGAGAUUUUGGUCCGUCUUCUCUGUGCUGUUCCUGGUUGGAGUGAAAAGAAUGUCCAGGUCCAACAGCAGGUUAUUGAUGUAAUUUCCCACAUUGCUUCAACUGCUUCAAAAUACCCAAAGAAAUGUGUUGUGCUUUGCAUUCAAGGUGUGAGUGAAAGGGUUGCUGACAUUAAGACUCGUGCUCAGUCCAUGAAAUGUCUAACUACGUUUUGUGAAGCUGUGGGCCCAGGGUUUAUUUUUGAGAGACUGUAUAAAAUUAUGAAAGAGCACAAGAACCCUAAGGUUCUUAGUGAAGGCAUAUUGUGGAUGAUUACUGCAGUGGAUGACUUUGGUGUUUCACUGCUUAAACUAAAGGAUUUAAUUGAUUUCUGCAAAGAUACUGGCUUGCAAUCCAGUGCCCCUGCCACAAGGAAUGCAACCAUUAAACUUAUUGGCACUUUACACAAGUUUGUCGGUCCAGAUAUCAAAGGGUUCUUGUCAGAUGUAAAACCUGCUCUUGUUAGUGCACUUGAUGCAGA